rnacentral:rRNA from 1 species
AUGUUUCUCCCUUCGCACGGCCACCGCCGUCCUCCUCUUCCGCGCCGCCGGGGAGCAUCGUCGCGCCGCGGCGUCGACGGCCUUACUACCUCGCCCCGCCGAGCAGGAUGCCUCUUCUUCCUCCUCCUCGCCUUCGUCGUCCUCGCCGCCGCACUGCUCCACCGUGCCGCCUCCUCCACCACAGCACGCGCCGGCCACCACCAUCGCGAGGAAGGCGACCUCCGGACCGCCGCUCCGAGGGUCACGAUCUUCUCGGCGCCGCUCCGCCCGCCCGACGGCUCGCCCGCGCGGCAGGAGCUGGCGGUGCGGUCGUGGCUGGCGCUCCCGUGGGACGUCACCGUCGUGCUCCUCGGCUCCCACCCGUCGACGCUCGCGCUCGCCGGGCGGCUCGGACGCCGGGUCACCGUCGAGGCCGCCGUCGAUUCCUCGUUCAUGGGGACGCCAUUCUUCCACUCCAUGAUCGCAAGGGCGCAAGCCGCCGCCGACUCCGACAUCUGCGUCCUCGUCGACGCCGAAGUCGUUCUGCUCCCCGAAGCCGUCACAUUACUGACAGAUCUCAGCAGAAUUGACCGUGAUUGGCUCCUCGUUUCAAUGUCACGCAACGUUUCCAGCUUCCCCUACAAUCUCGCCCACAGUGCGAUGCUAGAGGAGAUUCAGGCUGGCAAAUGGGCAGCAGAUGGCAGCGACAGGGGGCUCGUUCUCGCGUGGAACAAUCCGGGCCGUCCAUUGCUAGCAGGAGUUGUGCCUUCCUUUCUGUAUGGAAGAGGGGCGCACAGCUGGUGGCUGGCCCAUGAGGUUCUGUCAUCUGAAACGAGACUCGUCUUCGAUGCAAGCAGUCUAGUUCUUGGGCUAUACCCCGAAGAUUUCACCGCAAAGCGCGGCGCUGGUUUGAGUAGCAGCGGUAGAUUACCUGAUGGAUCAUGGGAGAGCGGUGUCAAUCGCCAUCUCGCUUCGGUUUAUGGGUCGUAUUGCCAUCGUCCGCCAGGAGGACAUCAUCAUUCUUUUUCCAUGCUGUAUGAAGUGGUAAAGCAUUCUGAAGAUUACAUGUUGAGCAAAGUUGAGGAGCCUAGCUUCUCAAAUUUUGUCAUAGGUAGAGAACAGAAUACCCAUGAAGGGUUUGGUAAGCCAUGGAACAAAGAGAACAACUGCUUGUCUGACCAUCUGCCAAGCUAUUCUUCAGAAAACCCGGAGGCAGCUGAUGCUCCAUAUUCUCUAGAAAUGCUCCUUCAGUUUGUAACAGAUGAGAAUCGGUCUGUUGUUCUUGGUGUAGCUGGGGCAAGUUACAGGGACAUGCUCAUGAGCUGGGUGUGCCGCUUGCGCCAUCUCAGAGUCACCAAUUUUGUAGUCUGUGCUCUAGAUCAAGAGACAUACGAAUUCGCCGUCUUGCAGGGUUUGCCAGUUUUCAGAGAUCCAACGUCGCCAAAGAACGUCAGUUUUGAUGACUGCCACUUUGGAACCCAGUGUUUUAAGCGAGUGACGAAGGUUAAAUCGUGCAUUGUUCUGGAGAUUAUAAGGAUGGGGUACAAUGUGCUGCUGAGUGAUGUUGAUGUCUAUUGGUUUCGAAAUCCAGUGAAGUUCCUGUAUUCUCUUGGACCAGCAACAUUUGCAGCACAAUCAGAUGAAUUCAAUGAGACAGGGCCAAUAAACAUGCCACGCCGCCUAAAUUCGGGUUUCUACUACGCCCGAUCAGACAGCGCCACCAUCACCACAAUGGAUAUGGUAGUGAAGCACGCGGCCAAAUCAAACUCAUCAGAGCAGCCAAGCUUCUAUGACGUCUUGUGUGGGAAGGGGGGUGUGAACCGCCUCGGCGAUGACAGAUGCUUAGAGCCUAGCACGAACCUCACUGUUGUGUUCCUGGACCGGGACAAGUUUCCCAAUGGAGCUUACAAGGGACUUUGGGAGAGGCACGAUCUGCGCUUGGCUUGCAGGAACCUUGGGUGCUUCAUCAUCCACAAUAACUGGGUAAACGGGAGGAAGAAGAAACUCUGGCGACAGACAGCGUCCGGACUGUGGGACUAUGAUCCUAGCUCCAGGAUAUGCUUGCAGAGCUGGGGUGAAGCAAGUAGUAGCUUCACAGCGGCCGAGCAGUUUCAUGCGUCUGAGGACACAGAAAGUUAG